rnacentral:rRNA from 1 species
UACGUAGGUGACAAGCGUUGUCCGGAUUUACUGGGCGUAAAGAGCGCGCAGGCGGUCGAUCAAGUCGAGUGUGAAAGCCCCCGGCUCAACUGGGGAGGGUCAUUCGAAACUGGUCGACUCGAAGGCAGGAGAGGGUAGUGGAAUUCCCGGUGUAGUGGUGAAAUGCGUAGAUAUUGGGAGGAACACCGGUGGCGAAGGCGGCUACCUGGACCGGUACUGACGCUGAGGCGCGAAAGCUAGGGUAGCAAACAGG